UAUAACCAUCACAUCUUUCUCCAGAAAUAAUGGUUUGAAUUAUUGCUGGUUCCUCAAUCCAAUUCCAGCCAGAUUAAAAACAGAUCAAACAUUCUAAAAGGAUCUGCAGCCUUGGAAUAAGAACUUUAUUUCCAUUCUCUUUUUUUCCGGACUCUGACGCUGACCUCAUCAUGGUUGCCUGGCCUCCAGCAAGAAGCAUCUCAUUUGGUAUUAUUGGCUCAUGUGCAUGCCGAAGCAAAGCUUCCGCAGAAGACAGGGUCUCUCACAAAGCCAGAAGUCUCUCAUUUUGACUACACUGACUGACCAGUAAGCUCCCAGGAUCCACUUGUCUCUGCCUUCUGAUGCUGGAGGAAGCGGAAGAGUGAAGGAGAAGAGCCAGACUGUAUCUCCGUCCCUGGAAAAGAGAGACACUCUCCCUGCCCAUAGCCCAUAGCACAAGCCAGGUGUGAAAGAGUUUGUUUUAAUCAAGUAAGCGAAAGCAAUCAUCUUCAAUCAAGCUGUGCGGCAGCAUCACUACUGAGUGGAGCCAAGCUGACUCCUGUGUAAACCACAGCAGGGCACAGAGAAGCAGGCCCUGAGAACCAGUGCAUAGAAGCAACUUGCAAACUCGCAGCCAAAAGAGCCCUUCCUUCCUUAUUCCUUCCUUCCUUCCUUCCUUCCUUCCUUCCUUCCUUCCUUCCUUCCUUCCAUCCCCCUCUCUCUUUCUACCAGUUCCAUUUUGCCCAGAUUUCUUUCUCCAACUCUAUAUCUCUCCCAAAUUCAAGCUGAUUUCAAGUCACAUGUUUUCAACUUGAACAGAAUGGUUAUAGAAGGUUGUGCAUACCCAAUACAAUAUCUGCAUCUAUACUGAAAACCUCACUUUGUUUUAGUUUGAAAACACUACUCAGGUGAUGCCCAAAUUGUACCCUUUGAAAACCUAAAUUCAAAAAAAAAAUCUUUAAAAUAUAAAUACUAUUUCUCAAGCUUAUACUAAUGUAUUUGACUGGAUCUAUGCUCUGAAUGUCUUCUACACUCACUGGACAACCAUAGGCAUGUUUUUAUAGCAGAAAACAAGCAACCAACUUUCAAUUCUACAGAAUGGCAGGGCAAGCAACCAACUUUCAAUUCUACAGAAUGGCAGGGCAUAAUACUGAGCAGAGAAAGACAAAUGCUACUGGCAGCCUUCUCUUCUAAAGCAUUGAAAAACUUGGUAGAGAUACACACAUUUCACUGAGAAAAUGCCAGAACUAGAUAAUUAGAGAAUUGAGUUAAAAUAUGAGGGCUGUAACUGAAAAACAUGGUCCCCACUACAAAAGCUUUCCUCUGUUUCCUUGUUUACAAUACAAGUAACAUCAGGUUGAUUUUCUCUAAGGAGGAGUAUUAUAUAAGACUGAGAAGGCUUCACUGAUUUCUUCUUUAUUUUUAUCAAUCCAAUUGGAACCAGGUUAUCUGUUUUGUUAAUAAAUGGUGCCGAGGGCCUGUGAGAUGGUUCGGCAGGUACAGGAGCCUUCUGUUUAAGCCUGGGAACCAGAGGUGAAGCUGAAGAACACGUGCACAGGUAGAGGAGACCAACUCUGCAAACUUACCCCACAAUCUCCACGUGUGUCAUGGUACACACGUUCAUGUGCACAUAUCCAAUAACAAUGUGAUAUUUAAAAAUAAACAGCACUGUGUUUAAAUAUUACUAAAUAUUACUUUUAAAUCUCAUCAAGGGCCUGGAUAAUUGAUAAUCUUCUCAGCAUCUUCCCUGCUCAUGAGCUAUUUCAGCAGAAACUGAUACUGCUAUUGCAAGUGUACAGAAAACAACUCAUCAGGUCAUUGAUCAACCACUGUCUAGUCAAUUGACUCUGCUGAGUGAUGGUCUCCAUCAGUUUCCAAGCUGGUGCUGAGACUGAAGGAGAAAUAUAAAGAAACAGCUCUUCUGAUCCCCUGGGGCUCUGUGGCAUGGAUGGGCAGCAAAGGGCUGGAAGGCAAAUGCUUUUGACAAGAGAAUUUCAGUUAGAAGGAGAUGGCAGGAAAGGCUUGGCAGAAAAAGUGAUGUCCAAACAAUAGGAAUGAGUUAGCCAAUGCGUUGGAGAAAAGGAUUUACUCUGGAAUAAAGUAAAAGCAAACUCACGCCAACAGAGCAAGAGGAAAACAAGCACCACAGAGCUCACAGACGUUUUGUGAAAAGAUGGGUGUCAGCCUUAUAUGAGACUAUGGCCCGAUGAUGUCUCUUAAUCAACUAAUCACUAAAAUGGAAACCCUCGAUAGAGAAAUAUGCUACCAUUAAACGAACUCUCUAAAAAUCAGAAUAAAUGAAAUUAAAUACAUGAUGGUGCUUCUUACAUCACAAAAUGGCUUUUGCAUCUUAAGAGAGAGGAGAAUUUGCCAAAGAAGCAGAGUGGAUGGUGUGUGAAGGUCACGGGUGACACAGUGAGAGGCAUCCUGAUGCCAUAGAUGAGUUAAAAGCUUUUUUUUUUUUCCUGUGCACUAUCCAAGUAUUUUAGUUAGGGUUUCUUCCAUUGCUGCAAUGAGAAGACUAUGGGUGAGGGGAAAGGCAAAUUGGGGAGAAAAGUGGUUAUUCAGCUUACACUUGAAGAUUAUAAUGCAUCAUUGGAGAAGGUCAGGACAGGAACUCAAGCAGGGCUGGAACCUGGAGGCAGGAGCUGACGCAAAGGCCAUGAAGAGGUGCUCCUUACUGGCCUGCUUCCCUUAGCUUGCUCAGCCUGCUUUCUUAUAGAACUCAAGACUACCAGCCCAGGAAUGGCCCCACCCACAAUGGGCUGGGCCCUCCUCCACUGAUCACUAAGAAAAUGCCUUACAGCUGGAUCUCAUGGAGGCAUUUCCUCAACUGAGGCUCCUUCCUCUCUCAUGACUAGAUUGUGUCAAGUUGACAAAAGCAUUACACCAAGCUUUGGGUAGGAAUUUCCUGGGCAGCAAGUAGCAUGAUAUACUUAAAAGAUAUCUUUUUAAAAGCUGCAUCAUUUGACUGAUGGAUUGACAGAAGUGGAGAGGGCCUGGUUUGAUGUCAAUGUUUGACAUCCGGGUUUAUGGUACUCGUAUUCCAUCAUAAAGAAAAUACUGGACCACACAACACAGAAAAAAAAAAACUGUAGAAGCAUGCAUUAUUUAGGUGAGACUCAGAUGAACAUGAAAGAUGAAAUUAAUAUUUACAAAGACCCAGUAGUAGGUCUACAGUAUGCAUUAAAGUAGAUAGUCACACCUGCUGCCUGGUCCUCUGCAAUGCUUUGGAAAAAGCAUGGUUUAGCAUUUAACCACCCUGGCUGUAAAAAGGGAGUUAACUCUCUCCUAUGAUUAGACUGAUUUCUACUAGACAAUGAAUUUGUCACUCACACUAGAACAGAAAUAAAUAGGUGUUGGCCACUCCCUUUUGGAGAUGUGACUUGAUGAAAUGUUCACACCAUGCUGGGAUAGGAGGAAAGUGGGGUAAAACAAGGCAGAAAUUUUGAUUGCAUGGGGGGGGGGAUUUAGGAGGUAUGAUUAUUGAUAGCCAUUUGAAUCCCAUUUCCUGUACUUUUUAAUUUUUUUAUUUCAAAAAUAUUUCUAUAAUUUUGUCCGGACUGUUGUAGUUUCACCAUUAUCGUGUUUGAUGAAUGAAGGGGAGAUCUGGGACAUAGCUAGAAAUAGGUGGUUAUAGAAGAACAGAGAUGAUCUCUUUGGCUUAGAUUAGUUUGGACAUUAAGUAAAAUGGACCAAUGUAGACCAGUUAGGUGAAAUAAAUGACAAGGAAGAGUAUGUGCUGGUGUGACACCCUUCCUUAAGGGCCUCCCAAAGAGCUGGAAAGAAGACAGUCCAUUUAAAACAUCUAAUGUCUUCUAGUUUGGAGAUAAGAGCUCAACCUAUUUUUAGUUGUAUGUUGAAGGAACAGCUAGCACCUGGCACUGCUCUGAAUUGGUCUGAGGUCUGUCCCACUUUUAUAGACCUCAGAGAGAGAUUCCACAUUGUUUCCCAUUUCCAUUGCACUAAUGAAACAAUCCACGUAGUGAAGAAUAUCUCUCUCUUUCUCUCUCUCUCCCUCUCCCCUCCCCCUAUCCCUCCCCCUCCCCCUCCCUUCCUUUCUCUCUCUCUCUCUCUCUCUGUGUACUACAAUCUGACUUUUCAAAUUAGUUGCAAUUUUAUGUGUACAGUGUUGAUAGCAUAAGAAAAACAUUUUCUUCAAAUAUAUAGCCAAGGAAGUUUGUAUUACUUUUGUAGCUUGACUUCCAUUUCUAAGUCUCAAUUUUAUGAUAGAAGCAAAUAGAAAGAAAUGAAUUGCCAUGAAGAAAUUUUUAGAGGCAUUUGAACACUGUAUCAAUUUCAUACAUCAUAAAAUCUCAACCAUGAUAAAGUGAAAGUGUGUUAGAUCUCUAAGAAAGACAUCAGGAAAACUGAGAGGUUUUCUUCUCUUCUACAGAUCAAAGAUGGAAAGAGAUAUGGACAGAAAUUGUGACACCAUUCCAAAACAAUCACCAUAUUGCCCCCACCAAGUCAUUCACUGAUGGGCACACUUAGAUAGAUUCCAUUCCUUGGUUAUUUUAAAUCAUGUUGCUAUGGAUAGGAACUUGCCAAUCUCUCUUUGUCUUACUGAUUUCAUUUUCCUUGGAGAUAUACACAGCUCUGAGAUUGCUGGAUCAUAUGAUAGUUUGGUUUUUAAUGUUUUGAGCAAUUAAUCUUCUAUUUUCUACAGAGACUGUACAAAUUUAUAUUCUACCAACAGUACUCAAAGGCUCCUGGGUAAAUCUAUAAGGUAUAUUGUUAAGUGAAAUAAAACAGAUACAGAAAAGACCAAAACACUGCUUCAACAGAUGCAGAGACAAACAGACAAAUAUUACAUAGAGCUUGGGAAGUCUUGUGGAAGAGUUAGGGAAAGGAUUGAGGGGCCUGGAGGGGUUAGGAAAUAGGCCAGUGGAUUAAGAGGAGAAAGGUAAAAAAAUGGAAAUUUUUAGUUAAACAUGAGAAAUAGGUUCAAGAGAUCUAAGAGUAUCACAUGAUAAUGACAGUUAAUAAUAUACAAUACUCCUUAAAGGUACUACAUGAGUUUAAAGAAGCACCAUCAAAGAAAUGAUAUGAAAUACAUAUCUCAAUAGUUACAGUCAUGCUAUUACAUAUGCAUCAAUUCUUCUAGACAUCAUGUUAUAUAUGUUAAGCAUAUAUGACUUUUUAAAUUUGAAUCAAUAAGUAAGAGGCUAGAUGGUGGCCAAGCAGCUAAGAGUAGACAGUGCUCCUGCAGAAGACCCUAGUUUGUUUCCCAGCACUCACAUUGGACAACUUACAACCAACCAUCUGUGACUUCAGUUCUAGGUAAUUUGAUGUCCUCAUCCAGGCUGUGGAUGCUUGCACUCAUGGAUGCUUGCACUCGCAUGUACAAACCUGCCACCCAACAGCCAUCCACCUACACACACAUACCUAAUUAAACUGUAAAACGCCUUUAAUCCCAGCACUUGGGAGGCAGAGACCGGUGGAUUUCUGAGUUCGAGGCCAGCCUGGUCUACAGAGUGAGUUCCAGGACAGCCAGGGCUAUACAGAGAAACCCUGUCUCGAAAAACCAAAAUAAAUAAAUAAAUCUCAAUAAGUAAGCAUGGAAAAAUAUCAACAUGGUUACCAAUAUUUCCUAGUGAAACUACGCCUAACUUGCAAGGGUUUUUGUUUGGCCUUUUAUCUGGAAUUUUUUUGAAACAAAAUGCUUUUACGUUAUCUCUGUCUCAUUUUCUUUCACAUAACCACAAUCUUUUUUUCCAGAAGAUGUUACUUUCCAAUUAUUCAUCAAGUGCCAUAAAUUUCUACUAGGAAAAGUUGGCCAAAUCUGCUCAGCAAAUGAAAAAAGUUAUUACAAAGUCUCAUUCAAUCCUGACAGCCAUUUGUAAUCAUCUUCUUUUAAUAUGCAUUUGGGAAGAACAGGUCAUUUCAGAGCUCAAUUAAAAAAUUAAUUUGUUCCUGUUGAAAAUGUAGAGAGACAUGAAUCAUUUAUAACAGCUUAUUUUGAAUAAAAAACAUGAAUUCAUUCAACAGAAACAUAAUUUACCAGAAAAUUUAUUACAUGGACAGCUUGGAAGCAGAUGUGUUGGUUCAACGGGUGUAGAGUCGUGUCUAGCAUCAAUGCACGAAAUAAGGAAAUAAUUUUAUUAAAAGCAAACACAAAUUAGUCUGGUGUGUUACAAAAAAUGUGAUAAGAAUAGGUCUUUCUUUCUCCAAGCUUGAUAAAAUAAAAAUUAAUAACCUAAUGGCUUUAAAAAAACAUGGUUUACACUUAAUUUUCUAAAGGGAAAUGGAUGAUUCAAGUUAUUGAAAUUCUUAUUUAUUUCUAAAAAGACUUCUAGAGGGAAGGAUGAAGGGGAAGCUAGCUAGGUAUCAGAGGAAAUAAAGUUGCUUAAUGGGUAGAUUUACUAUUUACAUAUGAUCACUGAGAGAAAACUGAGGCCAAUUUAUAGAAAGGUACCCAUUCAAUAUAAUACAUCUGACUCUGAAAAUAAAAGAAAAGGCAUAUUAAAAUCAGGAGAAUAUUGCACACAGUAGUUAGACUUCUGGAUCAUGCCACUUUUAAUUCUUUGAUGAACCACACACACUAUACUGCUUUUUAUGAUGGCUGAAAUAAUUUAUAUUCUACCAAAAGGGUACAAGUGUUUGUGGAUAAAUCUACAAGACAUUAUGUUUGGUAAAAUAAGUAUAAAAAUACAGAUUUACUUCUAGAAAAAUCACACACGCACACAGAGAGAAAACCCUCUGAAGUUAAUGAUAUCAGGCCUAGAUAGACAAAAGUGGAAAUAUGGCAUCAUGUCCACCACUGCUGUCCACAACCCGGUCUCUAUUACAUGAGUGUGUCACUUGACAAAGCAAAUGAGAUCCAGGUAGACUACGGAACACGGGAUACAGAUUCCAAGACUUUGAGGUGGGAAAACUAUCCUGGAUUGUUUGAAUGAAUGGAUUAUAGGCUCAGUGUAAUCCCAAGGUUCCGGGAAAGGAAAGCAAGAGAGAGAAAUGAGAUGAAUUGAGAAGGACUGGGAUUGCCAUCUCUGUCCUUGACAAGAAGUUGGGGACCAUGAGAAAGGGUAUGGGCAAUGAGGAAAAGAAGCUGGAAAGGCAAGAAGACAGAUUAUCUCUUGAGCUCCCUAAAGGGAAUACAAUUUUGACAUGCCUUGGCCUUAGCCCAAGAAGGCAUGCUGUGGGACUCUUAACUGUAGACUUGCAAGAUGAGAAAUUCAUCCGGUGGAAAAGCAUUACGCUGUCAGGACUUGUUACAGCAUCGAUAUAAAAAGUAGUAAAGUGGGCUGGCAUGAUGGCUCAGUCAGGAAAGCACUUGUCUUGAAAACAUGAGAACCAGAAUUUGAUCACCACAACCUAUAAAACAAAAGGUAAGAAAAGCCAAGUGUGGCAGGAUGUGCUUAUAAUCCCAACGCAGAGAACCAGAGGCAAUCAGACCCCUGGGAUGAUGGGCUGAAGGCCUGCCUUGCCUAUCUCCUCAUCCCCUGGAGACGGCAAGGAUUGGAAAUCCUUGCUAAAGUGGUCAGUUUCAGAAACUCCCAUCUAAAAUAUAGAAUCUAAGCCAGCGUGAAGUUCAUUAUCCCCGUAUCACAAUGAUCAUAAAGCACAGCUGAUACUUGGGAGGUGCUUGUUAUGAAAGAAAGAAAAACAAAAACAUCUCCACAUUAAAAAAAAAAAAAGACUGAAGGUUGGGGGGAAAAAAAAUGGAGUUUGAACACAAAAAGAAAUUUUGUAAAAGCUAAUGAGAUUUACAGAAAAAGAAAUUAACAGAGAGGAACACCUACUCUUCCUCUGUAAGUGAACUUGGUGUUAAGCUGACUCCUGAUGACUUAUUAUUAUGUCAAUUAGUGCUAUUAGUGCUUCUCUCAAUCUCAUCAGAGAAGCUUCAAUUUGCAGUAGAUAGUGAUUAUCACAGAGACUCAUAGUUGGCCAAAGCAUAGGAAAUAAGAGACUCUAAAAUGUUCAAUCCUAAAGGAAACACACACAGCAAAUCUUUUCCUCCCAAAGCUCCAGGACCAUCCAGGAAGAGGCUAGAGAAAGAGUCUAAGAGCCAGAGGUAGUGGACAGCUACAAGAAAUCAAUGUCCUCUGAACACAGUGGGAGCUACACAUAUAAACUCAUGGUGACAGUGCACACAAGACAUACCCAAGCUCAAGCCAGGUAUCCCCAGCAUGGAGUUGGGCACACAGUCCUACCUGGGGUCAUGGUGUUCUUGGUCAUUGUUGGCUACUGGGAGGGGAGAUAGUUUCCUCUAAAAGUGCAGCUCUGCUAAGUCAACAACAAUUCAGUGGGAGACCAUGCAUGCAUGCAUGUAAUAUUAGUUGGGCAGCACAAAUUUAUCUUAAUGAGUUGACAGAAAAAAAUAUUGCAAAGUUGGAUAGGCAAGGAAGUGGGGUAUAUCUGUAAAGAAUUGGGGAAGGGGGAAUAAAUAUGACCAAAAUACAUUGAAUAACAUUCUCAAAGAACUAAAAAUACUGUUUUUUUAAAGGAUAGGAAUUGAUAUAUGUUAAAUAAACUAGAAACUGAAAAUGCAUUAUUUAAAAACAUAUUUAUAGUAACAUGUAAGAGCUGAGACUCUGCCCAUAGAAGCACUAAACAGAGUUUGAAAAAAAAAUCUUCCAAGACUUAGGAGGAAAUGAAAAAUAAGCAAUGGAGAAACUUAAGCUUCUAUAUGUUAGAAAUAAAAUGAAACUUCUAGGAAGAAAGAAAUAAACUGAGCCGUAUUAAGAAUUAGCUUGUCCAAAAAGAAGCCUGGACUUUGCCCUUGUCUCUGGCAAGCAUUCUCAAAAAUCUUCAGUGUCCUCUCAGGAUUACCUUAGUAGUCUACAACCUUUAUACAAUGUCAGACUCACACAAGUUUGAGGAGCCAUUACAGUUGACCAUAGAAACCUGGUAACCCAGAACAGCAGAUGCAAUAUUUUACUCUGAGCUGGAACACUCUGACAUACAAAACACGACUGGAACAUUUGCUGAAUCUAUGAGAUUUUAGUGGCAAUGAUAUGCCAUACUUGUAUGUUUCCUAUCUCAUUUAACGUUAUUGUGUGUAUGUGUGUGUCACAGAGGUGGCACACGUUUCUGGAAGAGUAGGCACAUGCCUGCCAUAGGAUACACAUGGAAUCUAAAGAACAACCUAAGGUGCUGGCCUUUGUUCUCUACCCAUGUUGAGGCAGAUUCCUCUUUUAUUCUGCUGUUCAUCAUUGUGUGCAUCAGGCUGCCUAGCCAGAGAGCAUCUGUAUGAGCACUGGGAUUGUGGAAUGCAUUCCACACCUGGUUUUACAUGGACCAAGAUGCACUAACUUGGGUUCUUAUGCUUGUAUGGCAAGAGUUUUAUUCUAUGAUCAAUUUAUCUACCGUCAGCCAAAGUUUUAAAUAAUUUUUAUUGUUUCAAUUAAAAAUCUCGCAGUCACUUAACUGUGACCAGGAACCUUCAUUCUUCCACUUUUAUCCCUUCAUUAUUUCACGUCCAUAUCUUUAUAUAUGUUCUAAUUGAAAAGUUCAGGCUGCCUCAGAAGUCAGCAUUUAACCCAGGUUAGCUUUGAAAUCACAACCAUCCUGUUUUAGCCUCUAGUUGCUGGCAUUAUAGGUGUGCGUAUUCUAUAGGUGUGUAUUUCCAAAGUGGAAAUCAGUUUCCCAAUCUAGAACCUACUGAGUAAAGGAGAAAUGAUGGCUGCAGAUAAUGUGUGCAUGUUAAAUAUUUUCCAAAGGUAUAACCUCCCCCAUCGCCCUCAACAACUGGGCAUAGUGUGGAAAAAGAGAAUAGAGGCAUUGUAUACUGUAUCUGAGUUGGCACUGAUAACUACUUUACCCUCACCUUAAUAAGCACCAAAAUCAUGGAUAGAGAGUCAGCUUGUCUGCUUAAGUAUAUGCCUUGAAAACAUGGGAACCUGAGAUUGAUCCACACCACAUAAAGCUGGGUGUGGUGGUAUGAGCCUGGAACCUCAGUGUUACAAAGGUGGGGCCAGAUCCCUGGAUCCUGAUGCUCAAUAUGCCUAGCUCUCUUUGUGAGUUCCAGGCUAGUGACAGCAUGCACAGGGCCUAUAUAGCUCUGCAGCAGAUGGGGUCCCAGAGCUGAAUGGAGAAAUAGACACACACCUUUAUCCCUAACCCAAUUGAUAGUCACUUGCAAAUGAAAAAUUAGUCUUCUCUAAGAGUAUCUCACUGAAUGAAACAAAUUACUCUUAAGGGUAGGCCCCAUGCCCAGCAGUAGAUAGCCAACACAAAAUGAACUUGAUGACAACUUUGGAGACUCUUUGUCUCAUUUUGUGAGGGUGUUUUUGUUUGUUUGUGGAACUGAUAUGCCUAAUGCUGGUAUCUCUCCCACUUCAGUCCUUUAACCAUUGACGUGAUUGUUGUCUGACAUAGAAUCAGUCCAAGUAGAACUCUCUGAAUGGGAUUACCAAUUGUCCCACUGGCCAACAUAAAAUGUUUGUGCUAGGGAAAGAGUCAAUGUCUAGUGCCAUCCUUAAGAGCUUAAACAUGCAGAGGUCUCAUGGCAGCUCCAGCCAACUCACUGACCUUGAUCAUGAUGUCAUCAUGACAUGAUCAUGACAGCAACCUAUUAGUAAGGCAAGCAUGUGCAAGUCUCAGUUGUGACUACUCUGUCAGAUGCAGUACCUUUUGCUAUAGUGUAUUAAUCAGUAUGGCCUGCAAAAUAUACAGGUGAUGUAGCUGCUGGUCAAACAAAAAUCCAUCUUUUAGAAAAUGGAUCCAUUAUCUUACUGGAGUAAUUCAGAAGCAUGACGUAACUGGAGCCCCAAGUCUGUGCAGUGUUGGCAGUUGACAUUAGGAUGGCGGCAAGGAUAGUGCAGCAGGAAAAAGACAAAUGUCAGUUAGAGUUAUCAAUGAGGGUGACUUCUUAGUCUAUCCUCUUCUAUCUUGUACAUUUCCCUCAGGGAAGGAGAUUCAGCAGAGUAUUAAGAAAGCUGCAUCUAGAAAUCAUGUCCAAAGUAGGUAGAUGUGAGCAAUGCUGGGUGGAAGACAGUCCUGUACCUCUCUCAUCAGGUCUUAACACACACACACACACACACACACACACACACACACACACACAAUCUGAUGCAUUUGGCAUCUGAGUUUUUUUCUUCUUUGCCACCACUCUAGGAUCUGCAGAAGAUAGGACAUACUGAAGAUGUCUUCUGGAGUCAUCGUUUAGCUGCUAUAUGGAUGUUAAAGCCUACUGUCAACUUGAGUGAGUCUGACUUCACUCAAGAACAGUCUAAGCUGCAAAGAGGCACUGGUCCAAGCUCAUAAUCAUCAACACACAGUCAACACCAAUAGCCUGCACGACACUGUAAUAUUCAUGUUCUGCCCCUUUACCCAACUCAGAAUAUCUCCAAAAGGUAAUGUCUACAGAGCCAGCUAAUCCCCUAUCAUUAGGACAGCACAGUCCAACUUUCCUACCCCACAUCAGCCUGUCUCCUGUGUGUGCUACAUAAUUUUAUAAGUGAUGAUUUCUGUCUCA